GAACGCAGGCGGAUGAAACACCCGGAGCCCGGAGCCCGGGCCGGGUCUCGGGAAAAGGGUGCUAGCUGGAGCUCCCCGCCCUUCUUUCCCGGACUCCGGCUACCCCAGAUUUGGAUGAAAGAGAGUGAAGAGAGGCGGGUUGAGUUCGCAAUUGUUGCUUCCGGUUUGCGAGCAGGGUGGGUCACCGUGCCACUCCUUUUACAAAAUAACGGUUUGGGGGGAAGUAGGAAGUUUACCCUGCUUUUCCUUCGGUUGGGAACGCGGCUCUCCCCUAGGUUGACCGGUCAUGGGGCAGCCAGAGCUGUGAAGAGGCCCGAUUUGAGCGGUUUGACAUCAUCUUGCUUGGAUUCUGGAUCCAAGAAUCCUGUGCAAGACUCUGGUCCCCCUCACCAGAGGAAACUACAUUUUUGUGUCCAUAUAUACACGCAUAGAUGCACCUCCUUUCUAAUUUUACUCUUGCUCAGAGCCCCGCUUUCAACGUCCACUAAAGGGACAUCUAAGCCUCCGGAUGUUGAUGAGGAAGGUGAGGAUGCGGAGAGUCCGCCCGGACUGCGGAAGGAGCGGAAAGAUUUGGUUAUAGUAAAGGGGAUGGGAUGUCCCUUGGGAGAAUACCCUCCCUUGAGGCUGAAGCAGAGCCUGGGUGAGAAAGAGGACCAGAGCGGACGGUCUACUCCCACUGGAAGACGGAGCUCCGAAACUGCGAUCCAGCUUCCGGGUUUUUUCCUCAACUAGGUCCCUUGGCUUCUGGGGGCCCCUUCCCCCAGAGUCCCCACCUCCCCCAAUCCGUAGGAGCCACUGAAUCUCUGUCUUCCCCUGCGCUUAUCUCCUCCGGCAGCCCACCCACUGUCUUUUAAUGGCUGGGGAGGAUGGAGAGAGGUGGGAUGCCUUAGAAAGGGCUUCCUAUCUCGGGACUCUGAGCUGACUAUCUUACCCGAGGUGGAGCAUCACUCUAAUCUCGCAUUCGAAGAUCCAGCUCCUCUCUGAUCCCAUCCCUCAUCCCCAGCUCUGGCCUUGAUACCUACACCCUUGGACCGUCCUUUGACCUGCUCGACACUCUCGGCUUCCCUGCGUUCUCUAGAAGCCAGGACCCCUUUUACCACCAGCAGGGGCUCUCCCUCAGUUCCCAGCGCUGUUUACCUAAUCAGUAGGAGCCUAAGUCUUGGAGGAUGCGAACCGAAGAUGUUAUCAUCUACUAAGAGGGAUAUCAUAAAACAAGCAAUAUGAAAGAGAUCCUUGAUUGUUGGUUGGUUCAAAUGCUACAAAAGAAACAAAGAGGACAUGAAGGAAAAGAAAAAUAAAUAAAUGGAGUCCAGGAUCAUCUUCAUGAAGAAGAGUCCUGUAGGCUGAGUAUAAUGUAGAAGUUAUUCAAGCAAUUUGUGAAGACAAAGAACAUUCCAGCUGGAGGGAACAGCAUGUGCUAAGCAAUGAGGCAGGAGAACUCAGCAUGAUUGAGUGAUUGAAUGAAGGCCAGUGUAUCUGAAGC
rnacentral:lncRNA from 1 species